rnacentral:rRNA from 1 species
AUUGAACGCUGGCGGAAUGCUUUACACAUGCAAGUCGAACGGUAGAGGGGGCAACCCCUCGAGAGUGGCGAACGGGUGAGUAAUAUAUCGGAACGUGCCCAGUCGUGGGGGAUAACGUAGCGAAAGUUACGCUAAUACCGCAUACGAUCUAAGGAUGAAAGCGGGGGAUCGCAAGACCUCGCGCGAUUGGAGCGGCCGAUAUCAGAUUAGGUAGUUGGGGGGGUAAAGGAUCACCAAGCCAACGAUCUGUAGCUGGUCUGAGAGGACGACCAGCCAAACUGGAACUGAGGCACGGUCCAGACUCCUACGGGAGGCAGCAGUGGGGAAUUUUGGACAAUGGACGCAAGUCUAAUCCAGCCAUUCCGCGUGCAGGAUGAAGGCCCUCGGGUUGUAAACUGCUUUUGUACGGAACGAAAAGGUCUCUCUUAAUACGGGGGACUCAUGACGGUACCGUAAGAAUAAGCACCGGCUAACUACGUGCCAGCCGCCGCGGUAAAAC